rnacentral:rRNA from 1 species
UAGGGAAUCUUGCGCAAUGGGCGAAAGCCUGACGCAGCGAUGCCGCGUGAGGGAUGAAGGCCUUCGGGUCGUAAACCUCUUUCGAUGGGGAAGAAGCCACGGGUAACCGUGGUGACGGUACCCGUAAAAGAAGCCCCGGCUAACUACGUGCCAGCAGCCGCGGUAAAACGUAGGGGGCGAGCGUUGCCCGGAUUCACUGGGCGUAAAGCGCGUGUAGGCGGUCUGUUAAGUCGGAUGUGAAAUCUCUGGGCUUAACCCAGAAAUUGCAUCCGAUACUGGCAGACUUGAGGACGGUAGAGGUCGGUGGAAUACCCGGUGUACCGGUGAAAUGGGCAGAUAUCGGGUGGAACACCAGUGGCGAAGGCGGCCGACUGGGCCGUUCCUGACGCUGAGACGCGAAAGCCAGGGGAGCGAACCG